CUUCCGACCACAGACGACCCUACUCCGAACUUCUUCCAGACUUCGUCAAUAUCCGAGCUUCUCCGACAAUGAAAAUUUCUACAGUAAUCAGACUUCAUCCAAGUUGCUACGGCAGUCGACCGCCUUCCGGACUCCACUCGAGCUCCUGAGAGAGUCAAACUUCUACUACGAGCGGUCCACUCCGAACUUCUACUACAAGCGGUCCACUCUGAACUUCUGGAUCCCAGACGAGCUUCUACAAUGGGACAGGAUCUGUCGGCCAGGUCGCUACUCCGAGCUCCCACGACAAUCGAUCUUCGACUGAGCUUCUACAAUAAGCAGUCCCCUUUCAGCUUUCUACAAGAACCAGACUCUGUCCGAACUUCCAUAGCAGA
rnacentral:lncRNA from 1 species